ensembl:lncRNA
CAACAGCAGCACGUUUAAGCUUGAUAAGCUGUUGUUAGAAUUUAUUUAAUAUUACUUUCUACUCGAGGAUCUUUUUCUACGUAGCUGACGCUGGUAACUGUGCAGGGGCGGAUCUAGCAAAGUUUAGCCAGGGGGGCCGAUAGGGCAUUAACAGGGAAAAGGGGGCACAAAGAAAUACUUUUCUUUCUUAUUCUCAUUUAAAAUGUCUAGCUUUUAAUAAAUAAUUAUCUGACACCCAAAGUUUUAAUUUGAUGUAAAAUGAAUAGAAGUCAAUUACUGUAUAUAGUAACUAUUAAGUCUAAUAUAUAUACCCUAGUAAGCUAUAGUACUUUUUCCUUUGGGAAGGUAUCAUCUGUGCAGUCUGCAAUUUUGUUGAAGAAAGAUGUUGAAUCUAUUUAAUAUUUCUUGAAAAAGAAUUGAUUUCUGUGCAUUUUUUUUUCCACACUGCAUCAAAUUAAGGUUGAUUACGUCGAUUAAGCAUCAUGAGGUGGAGCAUGAGGGGUGGUUCCCCAUUUUUUAUUUAUUUAUUUUUGUUGUUGCUGGGAGUUGGAACCCUGUUAGUUAGGUUGGUUAAUAUUUACGCUGAGUACUCUUUAAAAUACCAGAAUAGGGAGGAUGGUGUAGGUUUAAGUUUAUUAGAUUGAUCAGUGUUGCUGAACUAUGAAUUUUUUUUUUUUGCAUACAGGUAUAACAGAAUAGCUUUAGUGUAGUUUUUGUUUUAAACUUGAGUAUGAACUUAUACAAAAUGCAGCAAGAUAUUUAAAAAAACAGUUUUGUUGAUUAAAAAACCCUAUAUCGGAUUCAUAUCGGUAUCGGCAGAUAUCCAAAUUUAUGAUAUCGGUAUCGGUAUCGGACAUAAAAAAAGUGGUAUCGUGACAUCUCUAGUACAGACUGAUAUAAAUCUUUAAUACGGCUGUCAAAACUGAGAGCAUUGUCCUUGUUUCAGACUGUCCCACAACAUUAUCGGCUUUGUGGACCACUUUAUUGAGCCAGUUGGCAUCUGCAAACUGCAACCUG